CGUGUAGACUGCAUCAAUUUCCACCACUGUGAAGGUAUGAUUAGCCAGGGAAAAAAACAGCUCAUCAUUGAGAGCAGCGUUGAUGAUUCUUAACAGAACAUGGAAAAAGAGGCCCUGGCUUUCCGUUGAUUGUAUGGGCAUCAGACAUAUUAGGAGGUAUGCCCAAGGCGUUUCCUUGUUUCUCGACUUCUUCAACAUCAGCAUUCCACCAUUCUCCUGCAGCAUGAUCAAAUGAAGCAACCGCAUGUUUUAUUCAUGCUUUUCCAUAAAAGAAGGUCAACAAAUUUCUGGGUCGAAUUCUAUAUAUACUAAUGAACGCCACACUCACCUAGUACAAGUACUUCUUCCCUAUCUGGUUGAGGGAAAGGGAAGGGAGUUCCUUGCUGUGGCAUGAUCACUAUAGCACCAUAGACUGUUGCUCUUAGCCAAAGAAUGUGUGCAUGCCACCAUAAGGUUCCUCUUUGUCAUGUUAUAUUGAAGUCAUAAACAUAGCUAUUUCCUGUCUGAAUAGGGCACUGAGUUAUGUAAGCUGGCCCGUCUGCCCAACCAUUGCGAUAUUGUUUCAAUCCAUGCCUGCAAGAAUCAGAAUAAAAACAUCCUGUUUGAGCCUCUAACAUUUGACAGACUUCAAAAUGUUUUGCAAUUUUUAUCAGAAUUCACUGUUGUUACCAGUGAAUGGACAAGUUAUAUUGUGCAUAGUUAGUAACGUUGAUUUGAA